UACGUAGGUGGCAAGCGUUGUUCGGAAUUAUUGGGCGUAAAGGGCGCGUAGGCGGUUUGUUAAGUCGGCUGUGAAAGCCCGGGGCUCAACCCCGGAGGGUCAGCCGAUACUGGCAGACUAGAGUACGGAAGAGGUAGCUGGAAUUCCCGGUGUAGCGGUGAAAUGCGUAGAUAUCAGGAGGAACACCGGUGGCGAAGGCGGGUCUCUGGGCCGAUAUCGACGCUGAGGAGCGAAAGCGUGGGGAGCGAACAGG
rnacentral:rRNA from 1 species